rnacentral:rRNA from 1 species
GAUGAACGCUGGCGGCGUGCCUAAUACAUGCAAGUCGAGCGAACAGACGAGGAGCUUGCUCCUCUGACGUUAGCGGCGGACGGGUGAGUAACACGUGGAUAACCUACCUAUAAGACUGGGAUAACUUCGGGAAACCGGAGCUAAUACCGGAUAAUAUAUUGAACCGCAUGGUUCAAUAGUGAAAUACGGUUUUGCUGUCCCUUAUAGAUGGAUCCGCGCCGCAUUAGCUAGUUGGUAAGGUAACGGCUUACCAAGGCAACGAUGCGUAGCCGACCUGAGAGGGUGAUCGGCCACACUGGAACUGAGACACGGUCCAGACUCCUACGGGAGGCAGCAGUAGGGAAUCUUCCGCAAUGGGCGAAAGCCUGACGGAGCAACGCCGCGUGAGUGAUGAAGGUCUUCGGAUCGUAAAACUCUGUUAUUAGGGAAGAACAAAUGUGUAAGUAACUAUGCACGUCUUGACGGUACCUAAUCAGAAAGCCACGGCUAACUACGUG